UCCCUCGUUCUCUUCUCCCAGUUCUGAAACUAGGGUUAGGUAUUGAAGCUGUUUGAAAAGAAAAAGAAAACUGAUGUUAUUGAAGUUGUUUUUGUUGAAGACAUAGAUGUUAGUGAAAGACCAGAGUGUAUUUGGAAGAAAAGUUCUACAUAUUUAGGGAUUCAGAGAUAGUAUGAAUUGAUGUUGUCGACGAUCUAACCAGUGCUUGCAUUAAUGGGUUUCUUUUGAUGAACAUAGGGUUUUCGAAAGGUUGAUUCAGAGAAGUGGGAAUUUUCAAAUGAAUGGUUUCUAGGAGGACAGAAGCACCUACUGAAGAAUAUAAAGAGGAGGAGACAUAUUUUUGUGACAAAAAUCGCCAAUUACUUCGGUUGGCUUCCCAAGGGUGUUACAAGUGUGAUUUACGGAUUCGGUCCUACUGAUGGUUAAUGGUGCAUUCACUUCCGAUCAUAUUGAUGUUGCCAAUGUUUGUUUUCCUACAUCUGGCAAUUAGUAUAUCGUAUUUUAGAUGAUCGAUAUUCAUACAAGGGCUGAAUAUCAUUUUGUUGAAGGAAGAUAGAAUGUAGCUUGAGUGUGCAGCGGAAAGGAUUAGGAAAACUCUUAAUGCAGUUGGUUGAGUGCCUUGGAUAUGAGAAUAGGAAAGGUGCUGUUAUAUUAUCUGGUCAUAAAAGAAAUGUGCUUUGCUAUGGAUUUUACAUAAGUAAGUUAAGUUGUUCUUGCUAGAUAAUGGUAUGAUAACCUCAUGCUUGCAUAUGUUGAUGACUGUGGUGGAGUUGCUAAGAAGAGAAGAUUGCCUGCCACCCUCGGGAAGCAUAGAGAAUUUGCAAAAUGAACU